rnacentral:rRNA from 1 species
AGCGAACGCUGGCGGCAGGCCUAACACAUGCAAGUCGAACGAACCUUUCGGGGUUAGUGGCGGACGGGUGAGUAACACGUGGGAACGUGCCUUUAGGUUCGGAAUAACUCAGGGAAACUUGUGCUAAUACCGAAUGUGCCCUUCGGGGGAAAGAGUUAUCGCCUUUAGAGCGGCCCGCGUCUGAUUAGCUAGUUGGUUGAGGUAAUGGCUCACCAAGGCGACGAUCAGUAGCUGGUCUGAGAGGAUGAUCAGCCACAUUGGGACUGAGACACGGCCCAAACUCCUACGGGAGGCAGCAGUAGGGAAUCUUGCGCAAUGGGCGAAAGCCUGACGCAGCCAUGCCGCGUGAAUGAUGAAGGUCUUAGGAUUGUAAAAUUCUUUCACCGGAGACGAUAAUGACGGUACCCGGAGAAGAAGCCCCGGCUAACUUCGUG